rnacentral:rRNA from 1 species
GAUGAACGCUGGCGGCGUGCCUAAUACAUGCAAGUCGAGCGAACGGACGAGAAGCUUGCUUCUCUGAUGUUAGCGGCGGACGGGUGAGUAACACGUGGAUAACCUACCUAUAAGACUGGGAUAACUUCGGGAAACCGGAGCUAAUACCGGAUAAUAUUUUGAACCGCAUGGUUCAAAAGUGAAAGACGGUCUUGCUGUCACUUAUAGAUGGAUCCGCGCUGCAUUAGCUAGUUGGUAAGGUAACGGCUUACCAAGGCAACGAUGCAUAGCCGACCUGAGAGGGUGAUCGGCCACACUGGAACUGAGACACGGUCCAGGCUCCUACGGGAGGCAGCAGUAGGGAAUCUUCCGCAAUGGGCGAAAGCCUGACGGAGCAACGCCGCGUGAGUGAUGAAGGUCUUCGGAUCGUAAAACUCUGUUAUUAGGGAAGAACAGAUGUGGAAGGAAAUGUGCACAUCUUGACGGUACCUAAUCAGAAAGCCACGGCUAACUACGUG